rnacentral:rRNA from 1 species
AGUGAACGCUGGCGGUAGGCCUAACACAUGCAAGUCGAACGAAGUCUUCGGACUUAGUGGCGGACGGGCGAGUAACACGUGGGAACGUGCCUUUAGGUUCGGAAUAACUCAGGGAAACUUGUGCUAAUACCGAAUGUGCCCUUCGGGGGAAAGAUUUAUCGCCUUUAGAGCGGCCCGCGUCUGAUUAGCUAGUUGGUGAGGUAAAGGCUCACCAAGGCUACGAUCAGUAGCUGGUCUGAGAGGAUGACCAGCCACAUUGGGACUGAGACACGGCCCAAACUCCUACGGGAGGCAGCAGUGGGGAAUCUUGCGCAAUGGGCGAAAGCCUGACGCAGCCAUGCCGCGUGGAUGAUGAAGGUCUUAGGAUUGUAAAAUCCUUUCACCGGUGAAGAUAAUGACUGUAGCCGGAGAAGAAGCCCCGGCUAACUUCGUGCCAGCCGCCGCAGUAACAC